GAUUUCGUAGUUUAAUGGAAAAACAACGCCUUAUAGUAACGAUUGUAUUAUGAGCGGUAAUGUGGGCUCGAGACCCACCGGAAUCA
rnacentral:tRNA from 1 species